UACGUAGGGGGGCAAGCGUUGUUCGGAAUUACUGGGCGUAAAGAGCUCGUAGGUGGUUUGUCGCGUUGUCCGUGAAAACUCACAGCUCAACUGUGGGCGUGCGGGCGAUACGGGCAGACUGGAGUACUGCAGGGGAGGACUGGAAUUCCUGGUGUAGCGGUGGAAUGCGCAGAUAUCAGGAGGAACACCGGUGGCGAAGGCGGGUCUCUGGGCAGUAACUGACGCUGAGGAGCGAAAGCGUGGGGAGCGAACAGG
rnacentral:rRNA from 1 species